CUGGGUUUUAUACAUAAUACAGAACUGGAACCUUUCGAGCUAAAUGGUUUUGAAGAUCGGAAACUUCGAACGGUCCAGCACGGCGGUGGGGAUGGGAUGUAUUAUGCUUAGAAUCGACUAUUCAAGGCUUUUUUGGGUUUUAUUCCGCCACUUUUCUUACGAGAAUCACGACGGAAAGCCAGGCAUUUAGUUCCUCCUUCCGCCGCCGCCGUCGAUUUGAUACUUUAUAUUAUAUCGUUUCCACCCUUUUAUCUUUUCUCGUUUCCCCCCUUUUUCUCUCUCUCUGUUAAGCCCUUGAUUUGUUAGUCGAUCAUGUUAAAGAAUACUCGAGAUAGGAACCCCAGCAGCAACCUCCGUGAUAGCAGCUCGGAAUUUGGGUAUGUUGAGACCGAUCCGACAUGUCGUUACGGCCGUUUUGACGAAGUCUUGGGAAAAGGGGCCAUGAAGACAGUGUACAAAGCCAUUGAUGAGUUUCUUGGAAUAGAGGUGGCGUGGAGUCAGGUGAAACUCAAUGAGGUCCUCCGAUCGCCCGAGGAUUUGCAGCGGCUGUAUUCAGAGGUUCAUCUACUUAGCACACUUAAGCAUGAAUCGAUCAUGCGAUUCUACACCUCUUGGAUCGACGUUGAUCGCAAAACCUUCAACUUCAUUACUGAACUGUUUACUUCUGGAACGCUCAGAGAAUACGGAAAGAAAUAUAGGCGAAUCGAUAUCAGAGCCAUUAAGAGCUGGGCACGCCAGAUUCUGCAGGGGCUCAUUUAUUUGCACGAACACGAUCCCCCAAUAAUACACAGAGAUCUGAAGUGUGAUAAUAUCUUUGUGAAUGGCCAUCUUGGGCAAGUCAAG
rnacentral:misc_RNA from 1 species